AUGGGUGAUGGGGCUGAUGGCUACGGCAUCUUCCGUCAAACUAUUUCUUCGUGUCUACCUGCAGGCUCUCAACUCCCAACACCAAUUCCUUCAGCUUCCAUUCUUCAUCACAGUAACAGGGAGAAGCUUCUGCGUCAUCAGGAAGGGAAGUGCCUCUCAGUUGUGUUGCUCUUGGAUGCGAUGGUGCCGUGGAAGAUGGAGGCGCGCCUGGCCGAGACGGUGUGGGUGGUGCUCCUCGGCUGGGUCUCCUCCUGCCUCACCGUCGCCGGCGACGUCGCGCGGGCGCUCAGAAGCAGCGAUCUCUCCGUCUAA
rnacentral:rRNA from 1 species